CAGCAGCCACGGUAAUACGAAGGGUGCAAGCGUUAAUCGGAAUUACUGGGCGUAAAGCGUGCAUAGGCGGUUUGUUAAGUCUGCUGUGAAAUCCCCGGGCUCAACCUGGGAAUGGCAGUGGAUACUGGCAAGCUAGAGUGUGUCAGAGGAUGGUGGAAUUCCCGGUGUAGCGGUGAAAUGCGUAGAGAUCGGGAGGAACAUCAGUGGCGAAGGCGGCCAUCUGGGACAACACUGACGCUGAGGCACGAAAGCGUGGGGAGCAAACAGGAUUAGAUACCCCCGUAGUCCCUGUCUCUUAUAA
rnacentral:rRNA from 1 species